GUAUCCAUAAGGGCUAAAAAUGGCGUAGAAUUGCAGUGCGAGAGCAGAGGGGUUUCGAGGACUUUGCUCCAAGGGACCCCUUCGGCGACCUACAAACCCUGGAACAAAAGCAAUUACUCCUCGACAUUUGUGUCUUUGAACAAUUUCCUGCGCGAUCUGUGUGGUGAGCGUUCUGGCUCGUUGGGCCUCGCUACCCUCCUGGAUGGAGACUAUUGGUUUUGGACAAGAAACAGGCGCACUGUGAAUGUGUAUCAGGUGUGAGGAAAGGUCGGGACCACAGCUUUCCAUGCAACAUCUGUCAAUUGUCGAAUUUCAACUGCAGAAACCAGAAGUGGAUAAUCGAGGUUGUUCUGAACAGUGAUGGAUCGAAACCUCAACCGUCCAUACUCUUGCCUGGGGUCAGAUCGGUUUAUGUUCUUCGCCUGUUCCCCAGGGAGUUGGCAAGAGCGCAACAUGCUGGCCCCAGGGCUACACUUUCCCCAAAAAGUGGACAUUGGAGCCGUCCAGGAACUUGUUUGGAUGUAAAAAAGACUGUCCACACCCUCUGUCCUCACCUAGCUGUCUCUAAGGCUCUAUCAUAGAGAUAGAAAGCGGUCUCACCUCUAACUGAAUCAUUAGGCAUCCGAUGCAGUCUGGCAUAUUUGCUGGAAAUCUCCUUUUAUGUUUUCUGUGUUAAAGUAACUGCCCUGUGAAGGUCUCACUUUUAAAAUAUUGCUAUUCCAUUUAUUGACACAGUUUCUGUGGACUUGUAAUUGGAUGGGGGGUGGGGACUAUAAAAACCCAGCUUAAACUUUAUUCAAGCAUACUGUUUGGGAAAAUGCCCAGGAUAAUUCCUACAAAGACCUCUUUCAAACAUACAGUUGUGCUUAAAAGUUUGCAUACCCUUGGAGAAUUGGUAAUAUAUGUACCAAAGAAAACAUGAGUGAGCAGACAAAACACUUUUCUUAUGGUAUUCAUAUUCAGCUGUAGGUCAUAACAGAAUGGCACAAUCAUAAAACAAAACAUGGCAACAAAGAAAAAAAUGAGCUGACCCUGUUCAAAAGUCUGCAUACCCUUAGUUUCCUAAUAUUGUGUAUUGCCCCCAUUAGCAUCCAUGACAGGCUGAAGUAUUUUGUAAUAGUUGUCUAUGAGGCCCCAAAUUCUUGUAGGUGGUAUAGCUGCCCAUUCGUCUUGGCAAAAUG